GACGAACGCUGGCGGCGUGCUUAACACAUGCAAGUCGAACGGAAAGGCCCUGCUUUUGUGGGGUGCUCGAGUGGCGAACGGGUGAGUAACACGUGAGUAACCUGCCCUUGACUUUGGGAUAACUUCAGGAAACUGGGGCUAAUACCGGAUAGGAGCUCCUGCUGCAUGGUGGGGGUUGGAAAGUUUCGGCGGGUGGGGAUGGACUCGCGGCUUAUCAGCUUGCUGGUGGGGUAGGGGCUGACCAAGGCUUGGACGGGUAGCCGGCCUGAGAGGGUGACCGGCCACAUUGGGACUGAGAUACGGACCAGACUCGUACGGGAGGCAGCAGUGGGGAAUAUUGCACAAUGGGCGGAAGCCGGAUGCAGAAACGCCGCGUGCGGGAUGACGGCCUUCGGGUUGUAAACCGCUUUCGCCUGUGACGAAGCGUGAGUGACGGUAAUGGGUAAAGAAGCACCGGCUAACUACGUG
rnacentral:rRNA from 1 species